UGUUUCGGCAAGGGGGUCAUCCCGACUUACCAACCCGAUGCAAACUGCGAAUACCGGAGAAUGUUAUCACGGGAGACACACGGCGGGUGCUAACGUCCGUCGUGAAGAGGGAAACAACCCAGACCGCCAGCUAAGGUCCCAAAGUCAUGGUUAAGUGGGAAACGAUGUGGGAAGGCCCAGACAGCCAGGAUGUUGGCUUAGAAGCAGCCAUCAUUUAAAGAAAGCGUAAUAGCUCACUGGUCGAGUCGGCCUGCGCGGAAGAUGUAACGGGGCUAAACCAUGCACCGAAGCUGCGGCAGCGACGCUUAUGCGUUGUUGGGUAGGGGAGCGUUCUGUAAGCCUGCGAAGGUGUACUGUGAGGUAUGCUGGAGGUAUCAGAAGUGCGAAUGCUGACAUAAGUAACGAUAAAGCGGGUGAAAAGCCCGCUCGCCGGAAGACCAAGGGUUCCUGUCCAACGUUAAUCGGGGCAGGGUGAGUCGACCCCUAAGGCGAGGCCGAAAGGCGUAGUCGAUGGGAAACAGGUUAAUAUUCCUGUACUUGGUGUUACUGCGAAGGGGGGACGGAGAAGGCUAUGUUGGCCGGGCGACGGUUGUCCCGGUUUAAGCGUGUAGGCUGGUUUUCCAGGCAAAUCCGGAAAAUCAAGGCUGAGGCGUGAUGA
rnacentral:rRNA from 1 species